UGUUUGAAUUAAUCAAAGAGUCGAGCGGGUCAUGUAGAUAUCUGUAUGUGUGUGUUUAUAGGAUCGUUUAUGGCCCUCUGGUCCUCCCCCUCCAGAAAAAAAAACUCCACAUCUGAACAGCGGAACUCUCGGUUCUAAUAAUUCGUGAUUCCAUCUUCUUGACGCCUGGGCAGAAGAGAGGAUUGUGCAAGUUCACUUGGCAGGCAAUCCGCAGGCCGACAUCUGGAGAGCAUUACGUCUGCAGGAGACGUGAAGCCAGGCUCGGUCACAGACGGCAGGUUACUAACCAGAGUCUGCUUUUAGCGAUUUAACACAAGUAAUGGAGAGAAAGAGGAGGGAAACAGAGAUUAAGCAUCCUGAUGUGACAACAUGAAGGGAAAAUAAGAGUGACAACAGGAGGAGGAGGCCUGCAGUUGCAGUCUGUAAAGAUAAAGAGUACAGGCCUCCGAGGAUCUCAAACAAAUGGAAGAAGAGGCACGAAGAGUGGAGGCAGACAGGACACAGGGCUCUCCUUAGAGACAGCAUACGUCAGAAAACUGGUGGUGUUCCUGCGGUCACUGCUCUCCACAGCCAACUGAGGAGGAAACUUUUGCUGCAGAGAGUGGGACCUGUUGGUGCUAGACUUGGAAAAUAGAUGUGUCCAAAGAUAGACAAGCACAUGAAAUGAGGCCUCAUUUCUCCAAGGAGGUUUUGAGUGCAAAGGUAGCACAACCCAAAGAGCCACAAUAG